GACAGAGGAUGCAAGCGUUAUCCGGAAUGAUUGGGCGUAAGCGUCUGUAGGUGGCUUUUAAGUCCGCCGUCAAAUCCCAGGGCUCAACCCUGGACAGGCGGUGGAAACUACCAAGCUGGAGUACGGUAGGGGCAGAGGGAAUUUCCGGUGGAGCGGUGAAAGUGCGUAGAGAUCGGAAAGAACACCAACGGCGAAAGCAACUCGAUGCUGGGCCGACACUGACACUGAGAGACGAAAGCUAGGGGAGCGAAUGGGAUUAGAAACCCGUGG
rnacentral:rRNA from 1 species